GCAAAGCCGCGAACGGGUGAGUAACACGUGGGUAACCUGCCCCGAUGACCGGGACAACCCGAGGAAACUCGGGCUAAUACCAGAUGUGCCCUGCGAUCGCAAGACCGUUGGGGAAAGGAAGCUUCGGCCUCCGCAUCGGGAUGGGCCCGCGGCGCAUUAGCUUGUUGGUGAGGUAACGGCUCACCAAGGCGACGAUGCGUAGCUGGUCUGAGAGGACGAUCAGCCACACUGGGACUGAGACACGGCCCAGACUCCUACGGGAGGCAGCAGUGGGGAAUCUUGCGCAAUGCGCGAAAGCGUGACGCAGCAACGCCGCGUGGGGGAAGACGGCCUUCGGGUUGUAAACCCCUUUCAGUUGGGACGAAGCUUCAGCGGUUAAUAGCCGUUCGGAGUGACGGUACCUUCAGAAGAAGCCCCGGCUAACUACGUGC
rnacentral:rRNA from 1 species